rnacentral:piRNA from 1 species
UAGCAGGAUGUUUUUGGAUUCAGG